AUUCGAACCUGCAGCAGGUUCGAGUUGAGCGCAGCGAAACAACGGAGCGCUCGCGGCGACGGCCCGAAGGGCGAGUGAAGCGAGUCAUCCUGCACGACCCACCA
rnacentral:sRNA from 1 species